UACAGAGGGUGCGAGCGUUAAUCGGAAUUACUGGGCGUAAAGCGCGCGUAGGCGGCUUUGCAAGUCGAGUGUGAAAUCCCCCAGGCUUAACCUGGGAACUGCAUUCGAGACUGCAUAGCUAGAGUAUGGGAGAGGGAAGUGGAAUUUCAGGUGUAGCGGUGAAAUGCGUAGAUAUCUGAAGGAACAUCAGUGGCGAAAGCGACUUCCUGGACCAAUACUGACGCUCAUGUGCGAAAGCGUGGGGAGCAAACGGG
rnacentral:rRNA from 1 species